ACUACGUGCUUAUAAUGUAUGACCACUCUGAAAUUGGCUUCAGGUAACGAAAAAUGAAGACAUGAAGAGUUUGACUUCAGUCAUGAAUACAGCUUUGAAUCUUUAGCAGUUCGCAGUGAAAAGAUGUCGUGUUGCAAGGCAGACAGAUAAUUAAUAAAGAAAAAAAUGUG